rnacentral:tmRNA from 1 species
GGGGCCGAACGUGUUGGUUUCGACCGCCAGCAAAGACCGCAUGCGGUAGCUGGUUGGAAACGUGGGUUCGAUUCCCACCGGCUCCAUUA